rnacentral:rRNA from 1 species
AAAACGACUCUCGGCAACGGAUAUCUCGGCUCUCGCAUCGAUGAAGAACGUAGCGAAAUGCGAUACUUGGUGUGAAUUGCAGAAUCCCGUGAACCAUCGAGUCUUUGAACGCAAGUUGCGCCCCAAGCCGUUAGGCCGAGGGCACGCCUGCCUGGGUGUCCGCA